rnacentral:misc_RNA from 1 species
GGAAGGAUCAUUAACACGUAUCCACGUAUCUACCUCUUGUGAAUUUAUUAUUGUGUUGUAGUUAUCUCAGGUACGUCUAAGGAGGCAGAUGACCAUGUCGUGUCGUAAAAAACACGUUCUGCUUGCCUAUCCACCUUUUGUUGAGUGCUAGUGUUUCGAGGUUUUUCCCAUAGUUUUGAAUAAAGAUUAUGAGUCUAACCCUGCUAGCCAUAGCUCCUUAUGGGAUGGGUAUCUGAGAGAACUCGAAUCAUGGUGGUUAUUAACCUAUUAACCCCUUUUUUUUUUUAAAUUGUCUUAGUGAGUGUUCAUCUCUCUUUUUUUACAUUGAGAGUUGACCUCCCACCAAAAACAAACAAAAAUACAACUCUUAGCAACGGAUAUCUCGGUUCUCCUAUCGAUGAAGAACGCAGCGAAAUGCGAUACGUAAUGCGAAUUGCAGAAUUCAGUGAAUCAUCGAAUCUUUGAACGCAAAUUGCACUCUGGGGUAGCCCUCAGAGUACUCUUCUUUCAGUACCGGUUCCACACAAACUCAGCUGCGUGCAAAAAUCAAAAGUUUUUGUACAAAGUUGGAUAAUGAGAGUCAGAUGGUGUGUUUAUUUAUCUCUGUCUGUCUCUUCAAAUAGUUUAUGCUUAUGACACCUGUAAUGCCGAAAGGAUGCUCUCUAUACCAACCCCCUCUGGGUACGAAAGUAAGGCUUCCAAAAGCAAACAGCGUCACUGUCCUCUGAUAAGAUUUAUUUUUUUAGUUCUUUUUUGAAUUAGGAAAAAAAAUUUCUAAGGACUUGGUGAAAUUCGCUGGGAUUGGCCAGAAAAAGUGAUACUAGAGGGAUUGGAGGGUAUCGGCCGAGUAACGCACUACCAUAGGGUGUUUGGAGCUUUUCUCUUAAGAAACUUUUAAAAAAAAGAAAAUGUGUUAAUUUUUUUUUUUUUUAAAUCUCUUAUGAAUUUGGUCUGAAAUGAAGUGAGAAUACCCGCCGAAUUUAAGCAUAUUAUUAAGCGGAGGAAAAGAAACUAACAAGGAUUCCCCUAGUAACGGCGAGUGAAGCGGGAAGAGCUCAACCUGAAAAUCGGUGUACCUAGCGGUGCUUCGAAUUGUGGGGUAGUGACGCAGCGCCAGCGUGUGACCUGGGUAUAAAUCUUUUGAAACAAGGUAUCAGAGAGGGUGAGAAUCCCGUCUUUGACCCGGAGUUUGCCGCGUACGGCCUGUGUUCUAAGAGUCGGAUAGCUUGGGAGUGCUGUCCUAAAUGGGUGGUAAAUUUCAUCUAAAGCUAAAUAUAGAGGAGAGACCGAUAGCGAACAAGUACCGUGAGGGAAAGAUGAAAAGAACUUUGAAAAGAGAGUUAAAAAGUACUUGAAAUUGCUAAGAGGUAAGCACUGGAAACCAGUCAUGCCUGAAGCUAUUUACCUUCUCGCUGUUAGCGCUUAGUGUCGCCUGAGACUUUAAAAGCUUGGUGAUACUUUGUUUGUUUAUCAGGGGGUUGGAAUUGUAGUUUUGGGCGAGUCAACAUCAGUUAGUCUUGUGGGAGAAUGUUGUUUGGGAGGUAGUCCAUGCUAGCAAUAGUAUGGAAACUUAUAUACCAGAUAAUAUAAUACCAUAGGAUUGACUGAGGAAACGAUAACGCGCCCCGCAAGGGAGCGGUCCCUAGUUCCUGCUUUUGUAGUUUGAUACGGAAAACAAAGUUUUGCGUGUUGGCUUUCGAGAGUACUGGAUUGGGUCGAUCAGCUGCGUGUUCGCGAUGUUGACGAAAUGGUUUUCAUUGACCCGUCUUGAAACACGGACCAAGGAGUCUAACAUAUAUGCGAGUAUUUGGGUGCGUAAAACCCUGAUGCGUAAUGAAAGUAAAGCAGGUCUUAAUGACUUGUGAGGUAGGAACCCUGGGCUUGUCUUGGGAGGCACUAUCGACCGAUCAAUCAUUUAUGAGAGAUUUGAGUAAGAGCAUAUCUGUUGGGACCCGAAAGAUGGUGAACUAUGCCUGAUCAGGGCGAAGCCAGGGGAAACUCUGGUGGAGGCUCGUAGCGAUACUGACGUGCAAAUCGUUCGUCUGAAUUGGGUAUAGGGGCGAAAGACUAAUCGAACCAUCUAGUAGCUGGUUCCCUC